GACGAACGCUGGCGGCGUGCUUUACACAUGCAAGUCGAGCGAUGAGAUCCCUUCGGGGAAGGAUUAGCGGCGAACGGGUGAGGAACACGUGAGGAAUCUGCCUUCAACACUGGGAUAACUCCGGGAAACCGGGGCUAAUACCGGAUACGAGACCUGCAGGCAUCUGCGGGUCUGGAAAGUUUUUCGGUUGAAGAUGACCUCGCGGCCUAUCAGCUUGUUGGUGAGGUAAUGGCUCACCAAGGCGACGACGGGUAGCCGGCCUGGGAGGGCGACCGGCCACACUGGGACUGAGACACGGCCCAGACUCCUACGGGAGGCAGCAGUGGGGAAUAUUGGGCAAUGGAGGGAACUCUGACCCAGCGACGCCGCGUGCGGGAUGAAGGCCUUCGGGUUGUAAACCGCUUUCAGCAAGGAAGAAGCGAAAGUGACGGUACUUGCAGAAGAAGCACCGGCUAACUAUGUGCCAGCAGCCGCGGUAAUACAUAGGGUGCAAGCGUUGUCCGGAAUUAUUGGGCGUAAAGAGCUCGUAGGUGGUUCGUCACGUCGGAUGUGAAAAUCUGGGGCUUAACCCCAGACCUGCAUUCGAUACGGGCGAGCUAGAGUGUGGUAGGGGAGACUGGAAUUCCUGGUGUAGCGGUGGAAUGCGCAGAUAUCAGGAGGAACACCAAUGGCGAAGGCAGGUCUCUGGGCCAUUACUGACACUGAGGAGCGAAAGCGUGGGGAGCGAACAGGAUUAGAUACCCUGGUAGUCCACGCCGUAAACGGUGGGCACUAGUUGUGGGAACCUUCCACGGUUUCUGCGACGCAGCUAACGCAUUAAGUGCCCCGCCUGGGGAGUACGAUCGCAAGAUUA
rnacentral:rRNA from 1 species